AUAUUUACCAGCAAGGACAAAUCAUUAUCACAUAGAUAAUUUUCCCAGGCUAAGGAGUAUCCAUUGCACUUGGGAUGCGCUUACUCCUGCGAUUUGAUAUCCUCAGAUGUGGGAAAACUCAACUGCAUAAUUUGUGCUCGUAGGGGGGCUGUGUUUACAUGGUCCCCAA